AUAAAGAGUACUUUUAUAGAUUUAAAAUUUGAUUAUGGUUUAAAAAUUAUUAAAAUAGUAUUAUUUAAGUUUAAUUUAUAUAGUGGGCAAUAAAAGUUUACCCCGGUAAUUAAUUAUUUGUAUAAUACUUGUUCCAGAAUAAUCGGCUAGGCUUGUAAAAAUUUAAACUUUAUUUUGUUUUAAUUAUAAUUUUAGAAGAGUUGUUUAAAAAAUCGUAGGUUAAAUUUUGAUUUUUUGAAGUAAAGAGUUAUAAUUUUAAGUUUUGGUAAAUGAAUUAGAUUAGUACCUAAUUAAACAAAAAUUAAAAGAGCAGAAGUAAAGUAGAAUUUAAACUGAAAGAAUAUUGGCAGAUUUUCUAAAUUAUCUUUGGAGGUUGAGUAAUAAUUGAGAACCCUCAUUAACUACUUUUAUAUUGGUCUCAUGUAUGAUCGUUUAUUUUAUGCUUAAGGUAUAUAAUAAAAAAUUUUUUAUUUAAUAAAAUAGAUAUAUACUUGGUUUAUGUAGGAGUAAAAUUUGACCUACAAUAAUGAAAAUUGUGGAUUUAUGUUAGAGAUAAUAUAAUAAAAAUGUAAAAGACAGUAAAAAAAUUUUUAUGAUUUUUUGAAGAUUAUUUAGAUGUGGUACAAAUCAUCCAUCAAUUGCCCAAAGGGGAGUAAGUUGUAGUAAAGUAGAUUUAGGGGAACCUGAAUCUAGUAA
rnacentral:ncRNA from 1 species